GGCCUGUUCAGAAUGCACUCAGGUUAACCCAAGUACAUGAUUUGCAUAUCUCUGUGUUCUGGAAAUCCCCUUCUCUUGACCAAAACUUCCUCCCUAGGCUCAGAAGGCGUCAUCAUUUUGUUUCACUGCUUUCUUUCAGACCAGAGCAACCAAACAGAGCAAACUGAAGGGGUAAACAAAACCCACUCCUGAUGUGAACUGGCAGGCAGUGCAAACAGCUUUCUUCUUGACUUUGUGGGUUCAGCCCCUUUUGAGUUACCUAACAUCCAUCCUGUUGUGCAGAAUGCAGCUUUUCUUUCCAAAAUCAAACUGAUUACGAAGGAUGUUAAUGUUUCAUUCCAUGGUGGUGGUGAGAGCAUUAUGGCAAAUUUGUGCCACCUUUCAAGUUGUGAAUUUCUCCCUAUAUGUAAUAAAAAUGUAAGAAUGUCAUCACGCAAGCCCCAUUGGAGGAUUUCUAGUGCCACAUCACAGUCCUGGAGUUGCAUGAAGUCAGCGCAGGAUUGGGGAGCAAAUGCGAACGCAGGUUAUACUAAAGCAGUGGCCAUGGCAUGAGAUUGAGAAGGGAGAAACACUGAGAGGCAGAAGGUGGUGGUUAUAAAAGUUUGAGUAAAGUAGGAAUGGACAAAACUCAGAAGAAAAUGGCAAUUGUAAGCAAAGACAUAGGUUUGAAAUAAAGUACUUUGGAAUACAUCAGGGAUCUGUAUCCUUCACAUGAGGCAACUGAGGAUGAAAACCUAUAUUUGUAAUGAACUGCACAAUUUUGAAGAGAGUAAAAUUUUCCUCUUACAAUCAUAUUUUUUAAUCUUAUAUUUUGCGUUUUAUUUAAUUCAUCAUUACAUUUAUAUCCUGCCUUUUCCUUCAAGAAACCCAAGGGGGCAGAUAUGAGUCUCCCUGUCUCCAUUUUAUCCUUACAACAACGAUCCUGUGGUGCAGGUUAGGCUAAGAGACAAUGAGCAGCCCUAGGUCACCCAGAAAGCAUUGUGCCAUUUUAUGUUUCAGCAGUAUGCACCACCUUGAUAUUUUAUGAUGCAGCCAUGUAGAUAUAGAUUAGAUAUAGAUAUAGGUAAGCGGAAUGUGGCGUCGUCUUGACAUCCAUUCACCUGAAGUCCACACAUUGCCCUGUUCUUCCUGCCUGCUCCUUUUACCUCAGAGCUGUUAGGCACAACACUGUCUGGCCCUGAGAAACAGGAGCCAAUGAAAAGGUCAAACAACGUAGCUUUCCCCCACUGCUUUCAGAGACAGAGCUAGACACAUGCCUCAGUGCUUCCUUCUAACCUACCAGGAACAGGUCUCGGUUAAUUCUGACAGACCAGACAACUGAGAGCUCUGUGCUGGUUACAUGCGAGCAUUCACCCAAUCUGGCCUGCUGUGGUGUGUGUGUGUGUGUGUGUGUGUGUGUGUGUGUGUGUGUGUGUCCAACAACUGGUGUUUCCAAUCUGCCUCUGGCACCAUAGAGAAGUUGCAAGGCUGCAUUCAGACUGCACUUUAUUCCACUUUGUUUCCUUAUCCGAUAAUUUUGUGUUUUAUGUGAUCUUUCCCGCAACGUAAAAGCCACUUCUGGGAAUUUAGUGGAAGUUUAGUGCUCAGAACUGCUUCCAGAAAAGAAAAGGAACUGUUUUGCCCUGUAAUUGCCCCAGUUUCCAUGGAUCAUGCCAUGUGAUGAAAUUGGGGGCUGUAUACUGCAGCUGUCAUGAACUGGUUGGACACAGAGGAGUGGUGGGUGGAAGCAGCAGGGGAAUCACAAAAGAAUGUUCAGAGUCGAAGGAGUGGUGAUGGGACAACAAUGAGAGGGGGAAGACUGGGAAGAGGAGGUGUCAGAAUCUGAAGGGGUAACAGGGCUCAGUGAGUUAAGAAAAGUCUAUGACAGAGAGAAGUCCAGAACCAGAGGCAGGAAACCUGAAGCAGAAGAGUGGGAGGGGGGAGACCAAGAGGCAGAGAUGAGCCAGGCUAGUAAAGAUGCAUGGGUGUCUCCACCUCCUGUCGCAACAAAGUCCCCUCCCCCUAAUACCCAGGAGCAGGAGAGGAAUGAAAUGAGUGCAGCAAAGAUGGGCUGCACACAGGCACAGUCUCCAGUUCCUUGUAAGAAGCCCUGGAGAGGAGGAGUCAUGUCCAAGGGCAUCUGCUGCUGUGCCGUUGGGGGUGAAUGAAGUUUAGCAGGACAAGGCAGCAUGUUCAUCAAAAAGCCACAAUUCCAUAAUGCGGAGUAGAAGGAAUGUUAGCAACCAGGACAGAAGUGCUAGCAUUAUAACCAGGAAAGCUAAUGCAAUAAUGCCCAUGUCUAAAUGCACAGUCAGAACUGGAAAAAUUAAGGUGUGGGUAGCCAGUGUAGGCCCUCCAUAUGUUGUAAAUCUACAUCAUCCCUGACCAUGCUGGCUGGGGCUGAAUUUUAGUUCUCAGCAUUUGGGGGGGGGGGGGUACCGCUGAGCUAAAGCAGAGUGGGUGCCACUUCCUUCAUGGUUGUCCCCCUGCCACUCAGGGAUACACCAAAGCUUCUGCAUAUGCUGUUUGUCCUGACAAUAUAUUUACACACCACACAAUGGAUUGGUAAAUGGGUGUUGUGAGUGGUGUCCUGUAAACAUUGCCCUGUAUAGACCAUUGCCCUGGUAAAGGCAUAUGUAAGUAAGGUCGGGCCUAAGGACAUUUUUCUAUAUGACGCUAAAACCACCUUUAGGUCUCCCUUGUGCUAUUUAUGUUCCUGUCUGACCUUUCUUAAUCUAGGAGAGAAAGCUGAAAAAGAAGACAGGAGAAGGCACCUUUUAUCAUAUGUGGUGGAAAUGUAAGGCAGUAAAAGAAUUUUGGGAAAUGAUAUAUAAGAAGUUGAAAUAAAUGUUUAAAAUAACAUUUUCUAAAAAAACCUGAAACUUUCCUUUUGGGAAUUCUAGGUGCCAAAAUCCCAAGAGAGCAGAAAAGGCCACAGUUACUGGCCCAGAGAUGGAAAGAAGAUAAAGUCCCUACCAGAGAAGAAUGACAGAUCAAGUUGAUGGAUUGUGCUGAAAUGGCUAAAAUGACUGGAAGAAUCAGAAAUCAGGAAGACCAAAAUUUUAAUAAGGAAUGGGGGAAAUUUAUAACAUCUUAAAGACCAUCGUAAACAGUUAAAAUCGUUAGUAGGAUUAGAAUACCACUUGUAGUUUAAUGGUGAAUUUUGGAUACAAUGGAGAGAUAAAAGAUUUGGAUUAUUAUGAAAGAUGCGGGAGGAAAUGAUUAAUAACAG